rnacentral:rRNA from 1 species
GACGAACGCUGGCGGCAUGCCUAACACAUGCAAGUCGAGCGGGACCUUCGGGUCUAGUUGCGGACGGCUGCGUGACACGUGGGGACCUACCCGUGGGUUCGGAAUCCCUCCCCUUAAGAUAUCCUAAUGCCACAUGAUGUCAUCCCGCCUAGGAUUUUGCGCCUUGGGGUGGGCCUGCGUUGGUUUCGCUAGUUGGGAGGGGACACGCCGACCAAGGCGACGAUCCUGGGCUGGUGGGAGAGGAGGAUCAGUCCGACUGGGACUGAGACACGGCUCAGACGCGUACGAGAGGCAGCAGUGGGGAAUAUUGGACAAGGGGCGAGAGCCUGAUCCAGCACUGCCGCGUGAGUGAUGAAGGCGUUAGGGUUGUAAAGCUCUUGUACCCGGGAUGAUAAUGACAGUACCGGGAGAAUAAGCCCCGGCUAAUUCGGU